rnacentral:misc_RNA from 1 species
GCUGUGUUAUUGUCAUGGUUAUGGAGACACUUGUACAUUUUUCUUUGAAGGAAUUGCAAGAAAGUUGGCAUCAUCUGGAUAUGGAGUUUUUGCAAUGGAUUACCCAGGGUUUGGCCUUUCAGAAGGUCUUCAUUGCUAUAUCCCCAGCUUUGACAGGCUAGUUGAUGAUGUUAUUGAGCAUUUCUCCAAAGUCAAAGAGGACCCGGCAAUUAGGACACUCCCAAGCUUCCUGUUUGGACAGUCAAUGGGUGGAGCUGUUGCUUUGAAGGUGCACUUAAAACAACCCGAUGCAUGGAAUGGUGCCAUUCUUGUUGCACCUAUGUGCAAAAUUGCAGAUGACAUGGUUCCACCUUUGUUGGUGAAGAAAAUCUUGAUUGGUGUAGCAAAUGUUCUUCCAACGAAAAAAUUAGUUCCACAAAAGGAUUUGGCUGAGGCUGCUUUUAGGGAAUUGAAGAAGCGAGAGCUGACAGCUUAUAAUGUUAUUGCUUACAAGGACAAGCCACGGUNUGAAGACAGCUUUAGAGAUGCUCAGGACCGUGGCUUGUCCUUGUAAGCAAUAACA